UAAUUGUACAAACUUUUUAUAUUAUUUUUGUUUCUUUUUUAGUUACUUAUAUAAAUAUCCAAAAGUGUAUUUAAACGUAUAUUACCACGAUAUAUAUAUUAUUUGCGAUCAAAUAAAUAAAUAAAUAAAUAAGAGAUAAAAAAUAAUAUAUAAAAGAUAAUAGAAAUAUUAUAAAAGUGGAAAGAAAAUUACUGAUGCAUGUCUUGAAUUCUGAAAUUUAUUAGAAUAAUGGCGUUACAAUAGACGCGUUAAUACAAUAGAUAAUAUAGUGUUUAACCUAUAAAAAAAAAAAAAAAAUAAAUAUGCAUAAAUGCUGUUUUCGACAAAAAAGUUUUGUAUUGUGGCUCUCCUAGAAAUUGGCGACAAAAAAGAAGAAAUUCGUACCUUCACUACUGAUUUCCAUAUUAUGCUAAAAUUGGAUAUGUUUGUCGCGUGAAGUAGCGAUAAUUUGCUUGUUUGUUACGUAAAUAGGUAAUGCCUAGAUUUCAUAAGAACAUAUUUAAUUUUGUAUUUUCUUGAUGAAAGGUCAAAUUAAAAUACCAAUU